CCGCGGUAAUACGUAGGGGUCGAGCGUUGUCCGGAGUUACUGGGCGUAAAGCGCGCGUAGGCGGUUUGGUAAGUGUGAUGUGAAAGCCCCGGGCUCAACCUGGGAAUUGCCUCACAUACUGCCAGGCUAGAGUACGGUAGAGGGGGGUAGAAUUCCACGUGUAGCGGUGAAAUGCGUAGAGAUGUGGAGGAAUACCAGUGGCGAAGGCGGCCCCCUGGAUCGAUACUGACGCUGAGGUGCGAAAGCGUGGGGAGCAAACAGG
rnacentral:rRNA from 1 species